GUCUGAAUAUGGGGGGACCAUCCUCCAAGGCUAAAUACUCCUGACUGACCGAUAGUGAACCAGUACCGUGAGGGAAAGGCGAAAAGAACCCCGGCGAGGGGAGUGAAAAAGAACCUGAAACCGUGUACGUACAAGCAGUGGGAGCACCCUUUGGGUGUGACUGCGUACCUUUUGUAUAAUGGGUCAGCGACUUAUAUUCUGUAGCAAGGUUAACCGAAUAGGGGAGCCGGAGGGAAACCGAGUCUUAACCGGGCGUUAAGUUGCAGGGUAUAGACCCGAAACCCGGUGAUCUAGCCAUGGGCAGGUUGAAGGUUGGGUAACACUAACUGGAGGACCGAACCGACUAAUGUUGAAAAAUUAGCGGAUGACCUGUGGCUGGGGGUGAAAGGCCAAUCAAACCGGGAGAUAGCUGGUUCUCCCCGAAAGCUAUUUAGGUAGCGCCUCGUGAAUUCAUCUCCGGGGGUAGAGCACUGUUUCGGCUAGGGGGCCAUCCCGGCUUACCAACCCGAUGCAAACUGCGAAUACCGGAGAAUGUUAUCACGGGAGACACACGGCGGGUGCUAACGUCCGUCGUGAAGAGGGAAACAACCCAGACCGCCAGCUAAGGUCCCAAAGUCAUGGUUAAGUGGGAAACGAUGUGGGAAGGCCCAGACAGCCAGGAUGUUGGCUUAGAAGCAGCCAUCAUUUAAAGAAAGCGUAAUAGCUCACUGGUCGAGUCGGCCUGCGCGGAAGAUGUAACGGGGCUAAACCAUG
rnacentral:rRNA from 1 species